rnacentral:rRNA from 1 species
AUACGGAGGGUGCGAGCGUUAAUCGGAAUUACUGGGCGUAAAGAGUACGUAGGUGGUUUGUUAAGUCAGAUGUGAAAGCCCCGGGCUCAACCUGGGAACUGCAUUUGAAACUGGCAAACUCGAGUAUGGUAGAGGGGGGUAGAAUUUCUAGUGUAGCGGUGAAAUGCGUAGAUAUUAGAAGGAAUACCAGUGGCGAAGGCGGCCCCCUGGACCAAUACUGACACUGAGGUACGAAAGCGUGGGUAGCGAACAGGAUUAGAAACCCUAGUAGUCC